UACUAGAGUAGCACUCGCAUAUCAAUAAGCGGAGGAAAAGAAACUAACAAGGAUUCCCCUAGUAACGGCGAGUGAAGCGGGAAGAGCUCAAAUUUGAAAUCUUAAAGGGUUUCCCUUUACGAAUUGUAGUUUAAAGAAGUGUUUUCUGUUGAGGUUUUGGUAAAAGUUCUUUGGAAUAGGACAUCAUAGAGGGUGAGAAUCCCGUAUUUGACCUUUACUUUCAACUUUGUGAUACACUUUCAAAGAGUCGGAUUGUUUGGGAAUGCAGUCCAAAAUGGGUGGUAAAUUUCAUCUAAAGCUAAAUAUUGGCGAGAGACCGAUAGCGAACAAGUACCGUGAGGGAAAGAUGAAAAGAACUUUGAAAAGAGAGUUAAACAGUACGUGAAAUUGUCAAAAGGGAAGCGUUUGACACCAGUGUUGUUUUUCUGAAAAUCAAUUAAAGAACUGUUUAUGCUAAGUUGUUUAGACUUUAUCAGCUAUCUGUUUAGUUUUGAGCUUUUCUUUAAUGCACUUUUCAGUUAACAAGUCAACAUCAAUUUCUUUUGCUGUAAAAAAGCUUGAGGAAGGUGGCUUGAGAUUCGUCUUAAGUGUUUAUAGCCUCUUGCCUAUGCAGUCGGAGAGAUUGAGGUCUGCAGCGUAGAUCCUUCGGGGCUAUAUGCAUUUGUGCUAAGUUAUAGCAUUUUAUAGACAACUUGUUGACUAUGAUUUGUCUUGUAGCUUACUCGCUUAUGUUAUUUUACCUACGCUUAGGAUGUUGAGCGCAUGUCUCUCUCU
rnacentral:rRNA from 1 species